UACGUAGGGGGCAAGCGUUGUCCGGAUUUAUUGGGCGUAAAGAGCGUGUAGGCGGCUUUGCAGGUCCGCUGUGAAAACUCGAGGCUCAACCUCGAGCUGUCGGUGGAAACCGUAAAGCUAGAGUCCGGAAGAGGAGAGUGGAAUUCCCGGUGUAGCGGUGAAAUGCGCAGAUAUCGGGAAGAACACCUGUGGCGAAAGCGGCGCACUGGACCACAACUGACGCUGAGGCGCGAAAGCUAGGGGAGCAAACAGG
rnacentral:rRNA from 1 species